rnacentral:rRNA from 1 species
GGCGAACGGGUGAGUAACACGUAAGUAAUCUGCCCUAGGAUUGGGGAUAACACUGCUAACGCGGUGCUAAUACCGAAUACUGCAACGUUGCCGCAUGGUGAUGUUGUUAAAGUUGGCCUCUAUUUAUAAGCUAACGACUUAGGAUGAACUUGCGUCCCAUUAGUUAGUUGGCGGGGUAACGGCCCACCAAGACUACGAUGGGUAGCCGGCCUGAGAGGGUGACCGGCCACACUGGGACUGAGAUACGGCCCAGACUCCUACGGGAGGCAGCAGUGAGGAAUAUUGCGCAAUGGCCGAAAGGCUGACGCAGCAACGCCGCGUGAGGGAUGAAGUACUUAGGUAUGUAAACCUCUGUUAGAAGGGACGAACGAACAGGACUCAAACAGGCUCUUGUUUUGACGGUACCUUCAGAGAAAGCCCCGGCUAACUCCGUGCCAGCAGCCGCGGUAACACGGGGGGGGCAAGCGUUGUCCGGAAUUAUUGGGCGUAAAGGGCGCGUAGGUGGGAAAGCAAGUCUGAGGUGCAAACUUGUGGCUUAACUGCAGGCUUGCCUUGGAUACUACUUUUCUUG